UAAUACGGAGGGUGCAAGCGUUGUUCGGAAUCACUGGGCGUAAAGCGCGUGUAGGCGGCCUCCUAAGUCUGGUGUGAAAGCCCGGGGCUUACCCCCGGAAGUGCACUGGAUACUGGGAGACUAGAGUACCGGAGAGGAGGGUGGAAUUCCUGGUGUAGCGGUGAAAUGCGUAGAUAUCAGGAAGAACACCGGUGGCGAAGGCGGCCCUCUGGACGGAUACUGACGCUGAGACGCGAAAGCGUGGGGAGCAAACAGGAUUAGAUACCCUGGUAGUCCACGCUGUAAACGAUGGGCACUAGGUGCUCGGGGUAUUGACCCCCUGGGUGCCGUAGCUAACGCAUUAAGUGCCCCGCCUGGGGACUACGGCCGCAAGGCUA
rnacentral:rRNA from 1 species